rnacentral:sRNA from 1 species
GAAGGAUGAUAGUUAAUUGGAGGUUGGAGUUAUUCGGAAGUGACAGGUGAGGAGAUUUUGGAUUUUUGAAUUUGUACGAUAUGCGGAAGUUACAUUGAAUGGUGGACAGCUGUUUUUUUUUUUUUUUGUUCUGAUACAUGUCAUAGAAUUAGCCGUGCUACAUAUGUAUAUAUAUAAUAACAUUGGGAAGUGUACAAAAAUCAUGAUACUCUCAAAAAUGUACGACAGAAUUAUAGAAAAGAUGCAUUUCGUCUUCUCCCCUAGCCCCUAGCGAACUUGGGGAUGGAACUACAAUACAGGGCA